GACGAACGCUGGCGGCGUGCCUAAUACAUGCAAGUAGAACGCACAGUUUAUACCGUAGCUUGCUACACCAUAAACUGUGAGUUGCGAACGGGUGAGUAACGCGUAGGUAACCUGCCUGGUAGCGGGGGAUAACUAUUGGAAACGAUAGCUAAUACCGCAUAAUAUUGAUUAUUGCAUGAUAAUUGAUUGAAAGAUGCUAUUGCAUCACUACCAGAUGGACCUGCGUUGUAUUAGCUAGUAGGUGAGGUAACGGCUCACCUAGGCGGCGAUACAUAGCCGACCUGAGAGGGUGAUCGGCCACACUGGGACUGAGACACGGCCCAGACUCCUACGGGAGGCAGCAGUAGGGAAUCUUCGGCAAUGGACGAAAGUCUGACCGAGCAACGCCGCGUGAGUGAAGAAGGUUUUCGGAUCGUAAAGCUCUGUUGUAAGAGAAGAACGGGUGUGAGAGUGGAAAGUUCACACUGUGACGGUAUCUUACCAGAAAGGGACGGCUAACUACGUG
rnacentral:rRNA from 1 species